rnacentral:rRNA from 1 species
GUGGGGAAUCUUGCGCAAUGGGCGAAAGCCUGACGCAGCCAUGCCGCGUGAAUGAUGAAGGUCUUAGGAUUGUAAAGUUCUUUCACCGGGGACGAUAAUGACGGUACCCGGAGAAGAAGCUCCGGCUAACUUCGUGCCAGCAGCCGCGGUAAUACGAAGGGGGCUAGCGUUGCUCGGAAUUACUGGGCGUAAAGGGCGCGUAGGCGGACAGCUUAGUCAGAGGUGAAAGCCCAGGGCUCAACCUUGGAAUUGCCUUUGAUACUGGCUGUCUUGAGUUUGGGAGAGGUGAGUGGAACUCCGAGUGUAGAGGUGAAAUUCGUAGAUAUUCGGAAGAACACCAGUGGCGAAGGCGACUCACUGGCCCAAUACUGACGCUGAGGCGCGAAAGCGUGGGGAGCAAACAGGAUUAGAUACCCCGGUAGUCC